UACGUAGGGUGCAAGCGUUGUCCGGAAUUAUUGGGCGUAAAGAGCUCGUAGGCGGUCUGUCGCGUCGGAUGUGAAAAUCCAGGGCUUAACCCUGGACCUGCAUUCGAUACGGGCAGACUAGAGUUCGGUAGGGGAGACUGGAAUUCCUGGUGUAGCGGUGAAAUGCGCAGAUAUCAGGAGGAACACCGGUGGCGAAGGCGGGUCUCUGGGCCGAUACUGACGCUGAGGAGCGAAAGCGUGGGGAGCAAACAGG
rnacentral:rRNA from 1 species